rnacentral:rRNA from 1 species
CAACCUGCCGAUAACUCCGGAAUAGCCUUUCGAAAGAAAGAUUAAUACCGGAUAGCAUACGAAUAUCGCAUGAUAUUUUUAUUAAAGAAUUUCGGUUAUCGAUGGGGAUGCGUUCCAUUAGUUUGUUGGCGGGGUAACGGCCCACCAAGACUACGAUGGAUAGGGGUUCUGAGAGGAAGGUCCCCCACAUUGGAACUGAGACACGGUCCAAACUCCUACGGGAGGCAGCAGUGAGGAAUAUUGGUCAAUGGGCGAGAGCCUGAACCAGCCAAGUAGCGUGAAGGAUGAAGGCUCUAUGGGUCGUAAACUUCUUUUAUAUGGGAAUAAAGUUUUCCACGUGUGGAAUUUUGUAUGUACCAUAUGAAUAAGGAUCGGCUAACUCCGUGCCAGCAGCCGCGGUAAUACGGAGGAUCCGUGCGUUAUCCGGAUUUAUUGGGUUUAAAGGGAGCGUAGGUGGAUUGUUAAGUCAGUUGUGAAAGUUUGCGGCUCAACCGUAAAAUUGCAGUUGAAACUGGCAGUCUUGAGUACGGUAGAGGUGGGCGGAAUUCGUGGUGUAGCGUGAAAUGCUUAGAUAUCACGAAGAACUCCGAUUG